UCUUGCAAAUGUUGAUCCUAUUGAUGUUGCUAGAAAUAUCGCUGGGUUAAACCCUGAAACUAGCCUUGUGGUGGUGGUUUCAAAGACUUUCACAACAGCUGAAACUAUGCUGAAUGCCCGAACCCUUAGGGAGUGGAUUUCUGCUGCUCUUGGGCCUUCUUCUGUUGCAAAGCAUAUGGUAGCAGUCAGUACCAAUCUUACG